UGUCCAUGAAAAAUAAGUAGUAUUAAAUUUUGAAAAUGUCAUGAAAAUAAGAAGUUUUAUACAUAAUGUAAUUAAAAGAAAUUAUGGGGACAUAAUUGAAAUAACUAUAAGUUUAAUUAUACUAAUAUUAACCUAAAGUGAGUGGCAUAUAUUAUAUUCAUAAAUCUUAAUUAGUGGAGCAUUAUGGACGUGUAAAAGCACUAAGUGGACAGAUUUUAUGAGGAAAACCAUUCAUUUUCUUCAAUUCCACUUCCAUGGCCGAAUAUGGGUCUCCAUUUUUCCUCCAUGAGAACUCAUCAUGCAAGCUUCAAUCCUCCCCCAUUUUCAACUUAAAACUCAAGGUUCCCUUCAUCAAACUUUGUCUCCACACCAUGGGAAAGCUUUGGGCAGCAAGAAAAAGAAGAAAUUUCAAGGUUUAGCAAGCUCUAAACAAAGGUACUGAAGGUAAAACCAGUAGACUGUCGACUGAGAUUUUUGGAGUCCAGACCUGCAGAAGUGUCAGAAGAGUUCAAGAUUGUCACCUCCUCAGCAAUGCAUGUAGAUAGGGCUCAUUUUAUACAUGUUAUGUAUAUUGUUCAUUCCUAGCACAUUGUAAAUUAUUUGUAUAUCUUGUACGAAAUAAACUCAUGUAAUUAACCUAUGAAUUAUGGAAGCUACUCAAAGUAA